GAUGAAGAACGCAGCGAAAUGCGAUAAGUAAUGUGAAUUGCAGAAUUCAGUGAAUCAUCGAAUCUUUGAACGCCCAUUGCGGCCCUUGGUAUUCCGAGGGGCAUGCCUGUUCGAGCGUCAUUUCAACCCUCAAGCACAGCUUGGUCUUGGGCUUCGCCGCUAACCCGGCGGGUCUUAAAAUCAGUGGCGGUGCCGUCGGGCCCUGAGCGCAGUAAUCUCUCUCGCUAUAGGGUCCCGGCGGAUGCUGGCCAGUAACCCCCAAUUUUCUAUGGUUGACCUCGGAUCAGGUAGGGAUACCCGCUGAACUUAAGCAUAUCAAUAAGCGGAGGA
rnacentral:misc_RNA from 1 species